rnacentral:rRNA from 1 species
AGCGAACGCUGGCGGCAGGCUUAACACAUGCAAGUCGAGCGGGCCCUUCGGGGUCAGCGGCAGACGGGUGAGUAACACGUGGGAACGUACCCUUUGGUUCGGAAUAACGCUGGGAAACUAGCGCUAAUACCGGAUACGCCCUUUUGGGGAAAGGCUUGCUGCCGAAGGAUCGGCCCGCGUCUGAUUAGCUAGUUGGUGGGGUAAUGGCCUACCAAGGCGACGAUCAGUAGCUGGUCUGAGAGGAUGAUCAGCCACACUGGGACUGAGACACGGCCCAGACUCCUACGGGAGGCAGCAGUGGGGAAUAUUGGACAAUGGGCGCAAGCCUGAUCCAGCCAUGCCGCGUGAGUGAUGAAGGCCUUAGGGUUGUAAAGCUCUUUUGUCCGGGACGAUAAUGACGGUCCCGGAAGAAUAAGCCCCGGCUAACUUCGUG